AACGAACGCUGGCGGCAGGCUUAACACAUGCAAGUCGAGCGCCCCGCCAGGGGCGCGGCCGACGGGUGAGUAACGCGUGGGAACGUACCUUUUGGUUCGGAACAACUCCGGGAAAUUGGAGCUAAUACCGGAUAAGCCCUAACGGGGAAAGAUUUAUCGCCGAAAGAUCGGCCCGCGUCUGAUUAGCUAGUUGGUGAGGUAACGGCUCACCAAGGCGACGAUCAGUAGCUGGUCUGAGAGGAUGAUCAGCCACACUGGGACUGAGACACGGCCCAGACUCCUACGGGAGGCAGCAGUGGGGAAUAUUGGACAAUGGGCGCAAGCCUGAUCCAGCCAUGCCGCGUGAGUGAUGAAGGCCUUAGGGUUGUAAAGCUCUUUUGUCCGGGAAGAUAAUGACUGUACCGGAAGAAUAAGCCCCGGCUAACUUCGUG
rnacentral:rRNA from 1 species